CCCAAACCCUCGCCCCAUGCUCCAGAAUAGCUCUUGGAAACGGGUGGUAAUGCUGGAUGCUCCAACUUGACGCAUGUCUUGUUGGGAAGUGUUUAGUGGCAUGGGAUGGGGUCGCGUCCUAUCAGCUUGUAGGCGGGGUAAUGGCCCACCUAGGCUUCGACGGGUAGCCGGCCUGAGAGGGCGGACGGCCACAUUGGGACUGAGAUACGGCCCAGACUCCUACGGGAGGCAGCAGCU
rnacentral:rRNA from 1 species